AUCAAAUAAUAGCGCAGACAGGAAGGAUGAAUUGCGGAAUUUACCCAUCUGAACCGCAAAGGCGCGGAUCCAGGCAACGGAGCGGGUCGACGCGCGGAUCCUCUUCCCCUUAAACGACACUAUUUCUUCCCUUUUAUAAAACCAAACAUUUCCUUCAAAGAACAAAGAAAACAAUCGGCCAUCUCUAAAAUAACCCUAGCCCCCUUUCCUUGAUUCUUCCUCAAUCAAUCCCAAAUCUCUACCCUCAGACGCCGUACCCUCGCCUCUAACAGUGGCCGACGGUGAGUAAAUCUUCCCUUUCUAACCUCAUUUAGAAAAACAUUUAAGAAUCUAACACCUUCAACCACAAAGAAUCAAAAGAACGUCUCAACCUUGGUUGGAUUCGGUUUUAACGGAGGAGAAACUCUGACGAUAUUCCAACGAUUCUGUCUGUUGCAGGUGUGUAUGGCGUGGAGAAGCCGUUCGUGGGCGUGUUGACGUGAGCGUGAAGCAACGGCGCGUGUGGAAGUUGGCACGAAGGCAGCAGUGGUGUUGGAAGCUGCUAGAAACCAAUUGCGGUGCACCCUUAGGGUUUCUGCUAAAAAAUGUCUUGGGCCGUUUGGGCCUGUCUCAGGAUAAUUGGGUAGGGUUUCAAUUGGGUUAAGGCUAUUAGGAAUUUGGGUUAAUAAUUUGCUUGUAAGUAGGCUAGGUAAUUGGGCUUGUAACAUGGUCAUUGAAUUGCUAUUAUUGGGUUUUAUUUUGUUAUUAUUAUUUUUUAUUUUGGCUUUGGUAUGGUUUUGGUUUUAGUUUAGGCCUGGGCAAAAUGGGCCUAUUACAAGGAGUGUCACACAUUUGAUUACUAUUAUUCCAUACAAAUUAGGUAAAA